GUUGCCUUCAGGUCAAGAAGCAGCAGCUCCUUCUCCAGCAUCAUGCCUGCCUGGAUGGCUUCCUGCAUGUCUACAUGCUAUCCACCAUGGUGAUAAUGAACUAAACCUCUGAAACUAAAUUAAAAAAGUAUGGUGGAUGAGGAGUUUGUUUCCUUUCGGCCCAAGAAAAAUGCCAAUUAUGGUAGCUAAACUGCCCGGAUCACAUAUCGGCAUGCUUUGGAAAUCAGUUGCACUUCCAGGGGAACCUGUCCCAUAGAAAUGGAGAUACCAACAUGCAAGGACAAAGAGUUGACCUCAAUUUGUUCAUAUCUGAACAGAAACAGCACAAGAGGAAACAACCAGCCAAUCUUUGCAAUAUUGUGUAUCAAGAUGUAUACAAUGUGUUAGUUAAGUGAAAACUGAAACAGGAAUGAAGGAAGCUGGAGAAAUGGCCAGUGGCUUAAGGGAACACAUUCUCACAGGACCUGAGCUCUUUUCUCAGCAUCCACAUCAGGCAGCCUCAGCCACCUGUAAUUCCAGCUCCAGAGGAUCAGACGUCCCUAUUGAAAUCUGAGCAUACUGCACUCGUGUGUACAUG
ensembl:lncRNA